rnacentral:lncRNA from 1 species
AUGAAAAAUCACACCCUUUCAUUCCUGUGGAGAAGAGGUGGACACUUAUGCCAUGAGGACGGAGGUGUGAUUUCUGUCCAUCCGUACAUCAAGCCCCCAUCACUAUGCUCCUGUGGGUGUUGCACAAAAGGGACCUUGGAUGUGGCCCCCUCUCUGUCUGUGCCUUACAAUCUCCUCUCUGAGCUGCUCAGGCAGGUUUUCAAAACCAUGAUUUCUUUGCAGGUAAGAAAUCUGUGUCUAAUUUCCAGAUUACUUUUGUUUUCCUGCCAACAUUGCCUUUUAAUUUAGCUUUUUCCUCUUUCCCCUUUCUUACUUUGGAGUAAGAAUGGAGGCAUAUAUAUAUAUUAUAUUUACCUCAGCCAUGGUUUUGCAUGGUUGACCAAAGCAAUCCCUUCAGCCUCCUGCCACUGUCGUGCCCUGCUACAGGUGGAGGAUUUCCUCCUGCUAUGGGCACAGUGUGGGCAAGGGAACAGGGUGAGCAGGGCUGGGGCCUGGCUAGGAAGGCCCUGUCCCAGGGUAGGUCAGCACAGUUCCCAGGCUGACACAGCCCAGUGACUGCAGACACAUUCACAGUAAUGAGGCAGGUCUGAGGUCAAGCCAAGGAGUCAGUUUGUAAGUCAGGGUCAAUGAUGUAGCUCGGGCAGAGUCCAAGGGUGAGUGCUGGAGCUUAAAAACAGCUCCUGGGCCAAGGGGUCAAGGCCCUGAAGAGUCUCCUCAUGACUCCUUCCAUGAAGUCUGAUCAGCAAAGUUAACCAACCAAGCUGUGUCAGGCCCUGAUAGUUGGAAGGGGUUAACCAGAGCUCCAGCUGUAAUUACACAUCAAAUCUUUUCACUGCUACUUAUACUGGUUCUCUUCUGUAAAUACCCCUCCCUCCCCCAACAGACCUUCUAUCACAUUUUCCAUAUCCAUAUCAUAUUACUGCCUCAUAGCUUUCCUUUUCCUGGCUGGUCUCACAUGAACUUCCACCUUCUCUGUCACCAGGAUUUUGCAUGUCCCUGUCUAACAGUGGAAAUAACUAUUAUUAAUCCCAAAAUAAGAACUGUUAGAUAUUCAUCUCCAAGUCGCCCCUUCAUUCCUCAGUAAAUCCCAACGCUGAGAUACAGAUUGUUCUCUGGUGCUUUUUAACCUUUUGCUAAAUGAAUGACUGCUUCUUCUGCCAACUGUUUUCUCACCUGAAUCUGGUGUUGCUGCUCUGACGGAGAGAAGAAACUACAGGACUCUGAUUUCAACAAAUCUGCAGUGCACUGUGACAAAUUAUAGCCUGCUUUAUUUGUUUCUAUUUCCUUCCAUUUCCUUCUUUUACCUUGUCCUUUCCACCUAGUUUUUCAAAGAUGAAAUAAUCAUAAUUGUGGGAGUCAUUUUUUAUUCAGAACGUUGCAUCUGGAAUUGAGUUUAGAUAAUGACUCUUGUCAUUUGGGCUGUGCUUUUAAGAAAUUGUGUCGGUAAGUGAAAGUUGUCUCUUUUACAUUAUGGUGUAGGCACUUUGUUGAUUUCUAUUUUGAGUAACAAAGGUGUUUUACCUUUCUGCACAGAUAAAAGGCCCUUUGGCAGAAGUGCAAAGACAUCACAGUUUGGUUUAAUAAACUAACCUUUCAAAAAUGCA